AACACCAACGCCAGGAACCUCAAGAUCCAACAGAGGACAGCGGAUCUCUGAUGAGCCUGGUAGUGUUGAACCUGCUUCCACAGAAACCUCAAAGAAGAGGAGUUGGUCAUUGGCAGAAGUCCAAUCUG